rnacentral:rRNA from 1 species
GAUGAACGCUGGCGGCGUGCCUAAUACAUGCAAGUCGAGCGAACGGACGAGAAGCUUGCUUCUCUGAUGUUAGCGGCGGACGGGUGAGUAACACGUGGAUAACCUACCUAUAAGACUGGGAUAACUUCGGGAAACCGGAGCUAAUACCGGAUAAUAUUUUGAACCGCAUGGUUCAAAAGUAAAAGACGGUCUUGCUGUCACUUAUAGAUGGAUCCGCGCUGCAUUAGCUAGUUGGUAAGGUAACGGCUUACCAAGGCAACGAUGCAUAGCCGACCUGAGAGGGUGAUCGGCCACACUGGAACUGAGACACGGUCCAGACUCCUACGGGAGGCAGCAGUAGGGAAUCUUCCGCAAUGGGCAAAAGCCUGACGGAGCAACGCCGCGUGAGUGAUGAAGGUCUUCGGAUCGUAAAACUCUGUUAUUAGGGAAGAACAUAUGUGUAAGUAACUGUGCACAUCUUGACGGUACCUAAUCAGAAAGCCACGGCUAACUACGUG